CAAACACACACACAUAAACAAAAUGUAGCCUACAAAUACUUUCACCAUAUGAAGACAUUUUAGUGUGAAUAUCAGUGUGUUUGAUAUUAUAUUGUAAUUAGCAAUGAAACCGGUUAUUCAUUAUGUCAGGCAAAACAACAAAGGAAAAGCAGAAGAACGUUGGACCCAGCAGCAACAGCAGAAUCGCACACAGAACCUCUUAAAGGCGGCACCCAUCCUCAAAAUACAAAACUAGAAGAUGGUGGAAGAAAAAGUUCAAGUUCAAGAGAUGUAAAACAGCGUCUGCCCCUCCAAGAGAAUAAAGCGGUCUUUAACGGAGGUAUCUGUGAGAGAAUGUGUACCUGACAAACAGACACCGUUCUGUUCCACUGCACCAUCUUCUCCGGCUGCAAAAUGACCUCCUGAUACACCAGCUCUGCAGAACACUGCAAGAGUGCCUAAAACACGCAAAACACAAAUUAAAACCCAAAGACCAUGUGAUAGAGGAAGAGGGCAGAGAGAAAAGAAAACGACCAAUGAGGAACUGAAAGUGAAGACAAAAGCGUGUGAGCUGGAACAAAAAUGAGCUGGAGGGU